rnacentral:rRNA from 1 species
AUACGUAGGUGGCAAGCGUUGUCCGGAUUUACUGGGCGUAAAGGGUGCGUAGGUGGAUAUUUAAGUGAGAUGUGAAAUCCCCGGGCUUAACUUGGGGGCUGCAUUUCAAACUGGAUGUCUAGAGUGCAGGAGAGGAAAGCAGAAUUCCUAGUGUAGCGGUGAAACGCGUAGAGAUUAGGAAGAACACCAGUGGCGAAGGCGAUUCUCUGGACUGUAACUGACACUGAGGCACGAAAGCGUGGGUAGC